GUCAUCGCUCAGGUCUGUGUUGAUCUGAUAGUCCUCCAGACGCUCCACCUGCCGGGGUAGUUUGGGGCUCCCACUGGGGGACACGCAGCAGGACACUGUAUUUCCCAUGAUGAUACACAAAGAGUUAUUAGUUUUUUUCCACCGAGUUUCGUCGGAGAGUCCCCUCGUUAUCCCCUCCUCCUCGCCGGCCAGUGCAGCAGCAGCAGCGAUCCACUCCCCACCACCACCGCCAUCUGCUCCGAGUGACGCAGAUUUGUACCUGCUCUACCAACUGGCGGCUGUCUGCGAGAUCAAUGUUUGGAUGAGAGAGAGCACCUGUGAAAGCAUUGAGGUCUGUUGUUGGCCGGUUGCUCACUGGUUAACGAUGUCGAGGGACAUUCACAGGUAAGAGAUCGCUGACAGAUGGUAAUGCAUAACUGCAGGAUGAAGCUGAAGGGAUAGCAUUUUCAGGAAGUGGCUGUGGUUCAGCAGGUGCAGGGUGGGAAAAAUGGGGGUGGGAGGUGAGGACCACAAAAAGCCAAAGGGAAAGACCUGGUGAAAACCUUACGUACUGACAUAUCAAGUUAGGACAAACACGGAUACAGACACACUUCAAGAUGCAGUAUAUCUCAUAACAAAUGAAUGGGAACCAUAUGGAUGAAUAUUUGAGUGUAUAUGCAGAAUAGCUGACUUUUGAUGCACUGUUGACCAAAAAAGGCAAUUUAUAUUGUGC